rnacentral:rRNA from 1 species
GUAGGUGGCAAGCGUUGUCCGGAAUUAUUGGGCGUAAAGCGCGCGCAGGCGGUUCUUUAAGUCUGAUGUGAAAGCCCACGGCUCAACCGUGGAGGGUCAUUGGAAACUGGAGAACUUGAGUACAGAAGAGGAAAGCGGAAUUCCACGUGUAGCGGUGAAAUGCGUAGAGAUGUGGAGGAACACCAGUGGCGAAGGCGGCUUUCUGGUCUGUAACUGACGCUGAGGCGCGAAAGCGUGGGGAGCAAACAGGAUUAGACACCCUGGUAGUCCACGCCGUAAACGAUGAGUGCUAAGUGUUAGGGGGUUUUCCGCCCCCCUUAGUGCUGCAGCUAACGCAUUAAGCACUCCGCCUGGGAGUACGGCCGCAAGGCUG